rnacentral:rRNA from 1 species
UACGGGGGGAGCAAGCGUUGUCCGGAAUCAUUGGGCGUAAAGCGCGUGUAGGCGGCCCGGUAAGUCCGCUGUGAAAGUCGGGGGCUCAACCCUCGGAUGCCGGUGGAUACUGUCGGGCUCGAGUACGGAAGAGGCGAGUGGAAUUCCUGGUGUAGCGGUGAAAUGCGCAGAUAUCAGGAGGAACACCAAUUGCGAAGGCAGCUCUCUGGGACGGUACUGACGCUGAGACGCGAAAGCGUGGGGAGCGAACAGG